GGAAAGGCGCGCGAUACAGGGUGACAGCCCCGUACACAAAAAUGCACAUGCUGUGAGCUCGAUGAGUAGGGCGGGACACGUGGUAUCCUGUCUGAAUAUGGGGGGACCAUCCUCCAAGGCUAAAUACUCCUGACUGACCGAUAGUGAACCAGUACCGUGAGGGAAAGGCGAAAAGAACCCCGGCGAGGGGAGUGAAAAAGAACCUGAAACCGUGUACGUACAAGCAGUGGGAGCACGCUUAGGCGUGUGACUGCGUACCUUUUGUAUAAUGGGUCAGCGACUUAUAUUCUGUAGCAAGGUUAACCGAAUAGGGGAGCCGAAGGGAAACCGAGUCUUAACUGGGCGUUAAGUUGCAGGGUAUAGACCCGAAACCCGGUGAUCUAGCCAUGGGCAGGUUGAAGGUUGGGUAACACUAACUGGAGGACCGAACCGACUAAUGUUGAAAAAUUAGCGGAUGACUUGUGGCUGGGGGUGAAAGGCCAAUCAAACCGGGAGAUAGCUGGUUCUCCCCGAAAGCUAUUUAGGUAGCGCCUCGUGAAUUCAUCUCCGGGGGUAGAGCACUGUUUCGGCAAGGGGGUCAUCCCGACUUACCAACCCGAUGCAAACUGCGAAUACCGGAGAAUGUUAUCACGGGAGACACACGGCGGGUGCUAACGUCCGUCGUGAAGAGGGAAACAACCCAGACCGCCAGCUAAGGUCCCAAAGUCAUGGUUAAGUGGGAAACGAUGUGGGAAGGCCCAGACAGCCAGGAUGUUGGCUUAGAAGCAGCCAUCAUUUAAAGAAAGCGUAAUAGCUCACUGGUCGAGUCGGCCUGCGCGGAAGAUGUAACGGGGCUAAACCAUGCACCGAAGCUGCGGCAGCGACACUAUGUGUUGUUGGGUAGGGGAGCGUUCUGUAAGCCUGCGAAGGUGUGCUGUGAGGCAUGCUGGAGGUAUCAGAAGUGCGAAUGCUGACAUAAGUAACGAUAAAGCGGGUGAAAAGCCCGCUCGCCGGAAGACCAAGGGUUCCUGUCCAACGUUAAUCGGGGCAGGGUGAGUCGACCCCUAAGGCGAGGCCGAAAGGCGUAGUCGAUGGGAAACAGGUUAAUAUUCCUGUACUUGGUGUUACUGCGAAGGGGGGACGGAGAAGGCUAUGUUGGCCGGGCGACGGUUGUCCCGGUUUAAGCGUGUAGGCUGGUUUUCCAGGCAAAUCCGGAAAAUCAAGGCUGAGGCGUGAUGACGAGGCACUACGGUGCUGAAGCAACAAAUGCCCUGCUUCCAGGAAAAGCCUCUAAGCAUCAGGUAACAUCAAAUCGUACCCCAAACCGACACAGGUGGUCAGGUAGAGAAUACCAAGGCGCUUGAGAGAACUCGGGUGAAGGAACUAGGCAAAAUGGUGCCGUAACUUCGGGAGAAGGCACGCUGAUAUGUAGGUGAAGUCCCUCGCGGAUGGAGCUGAAAUCAGUCGAAGAUACCAGCUGGCUGCAACUGUUUAUUAAAAACACAGCACUGUGCAAACACGAAAGUGGACGUAUACGGUGUGACGCCUGCCCGGUGCCGGAAGGUUAAUUGAUGGGGUCAGCGCAAGCGAAGCUCUUGAUCGAAGCCCCGGUAAACGGCGGCCGUAACUAUAACGGUCCUAAGGUAGCGAAAUUCCUUGUCGGGUAAGUUCCGACCUGCACGAAUGGCGUAAUGAUGGCCAGGCUGUCUCCACCCGAGACUCAGUGAAAUUGAACUCGCUGUGAAGAUGCAGUGUACCCGCGGCAAGACGGAAAGACCCCGUGAACCUUUACUAUAGCUUGACACUGAACAUUGAGCCUUGAUGUGUAGGAUAGGUGGGAGGCUUUGAAGUGUGGACGCCAGUCUGCAUGGAGCCGACCUUGAAAUACCACCCUUUAAUGUUUGAUGUUCUAACGUUGACCCGUAAUCCGGGUUGCGGACAGUGUCUGGUGGGUAGUUUGACUGGGGCGGUCUCCUCCUAAAGAGUAACGGAGGAGCACGAAGGUUGGCUAAUCCUGGUCGGACAUCAGGAGGUUAGUGCAAUGGCAUAAGCCAGCUUGACUGCGAGCGUGACGGCGCGAGCAGGUGCGAAAGCAGGUCAUAGUGAUCCGGUGGUUCUGAAUGGAAGGGCCAUCGCUCAACGGAUAAAAGGUACUCCGGGGAUAACAGGCUGAUACCGCCCAAGAGUUCAUAUCGACGGCGGUGUUUGGCACCUCGAUGUCGGCUCAUCACAUCCUGGGGCUGAAGUAGGUCCCAAGGGUAUGGCUGUUCGCCAUUUAAAGUGGUACGCGAGCUGGGUUUAGAACGUCGUGAGACAGUUCGGUCCCUAUCUGCCGUGGGCGCUGGAGAACUGAGGGGGGCUGCUCCUAGUACGAGAGGACCGGAGUGGACGCAUCACUGGUGUUCGGGUUGUCAUGCCAAUGGCACUGCCCGGUAGCUAAAUGCGGAAGAGAUAAGUGCUGAAA
rnacentral:rRNA from 1 species